rnacentral:lncRNA from 1 species
UUUAAUUUUAAUUUUAAUUUCUAAAAUUUAUAAUUUAGUUUUUAAAAAUUUAAAUUUAUAAUUUUAAAUUAUAAAUUUUAAUGUUUAAAUUAUAAAUUUGAUAUUUGUAAUUUUUAAAUUUUAAAUUUAAUUUUUUAGAUUUAAAAUUUAAAAUUUUAUAUUUUAUAUCUUUCAAAUUUAAAUUUGAUCUUAAAUUUAAAAUUUGAUAUUUAAAAUUUAAAUUUUGAAAAUUAUAAGUUUUAAUUUUAAUUUCAAAUUUUAAAAUUUAAAAGUUAAAAUUUUUAUUUUAAAAUUACUAGUUUAAAAUGUUAAAUUCAAUUAUAGAGGUAAAAUUAUUAUUUUCUAUCUAUAACUACCAACUAUUCCACCUUAUACUUAAAUUUUUAUCCAAAUAUAAUUUUUCUAGUUCCAGCUUAUACUCAUAUUUUCAUCUAAACAAAAAAAUACCCUUGUUCCUACGAAAAUCCAUUCUUGUACCUGUCCCCGGUAUAACUAGUUCUUGCUUAUACCAGAACCAAACGAAGCCUGAGAGUUUCGAAUACCGUUCAGGUAGAUCGAAUGGUGAAACUGGAAUCACUGUUGAGAAAAUAGCCGAAUGGUUAUCGAGUACGAGCACGUGGGCCUAUUAGUA